UAGCAAGAGAGAAAAAGAGAGCGCGAGAUAGAGAGCUUCAGUUUGAGAGAUAGCGCGACAGAAACAGAGAGAGCUUCAGGCUGCGUUCUAUCUAUCUAGGGAUAGAGAGAGAGAGAGAGAGAGAGAGAGUGAGACUGAAGAAGAGGGAGACGGGAAGAAGUUGAUACUCGAUUAGAAAGAGUGAACCCCCGACAUCAACAACGAAAAAAGCUUAGUAUCGGAGUUUCCAAUCAAGAGUUUUCACCACUGCUUCAACCUAUAGUUUUAGCAUCCAGAAAAUCGGAACUCACUUGAAUAGAGAGGAGAAGACGAAGGCGAUUGUAGUAUCUACAGUGUCGAAUUAGAAAGAAGAAGAGGCGAAGUUGGUCUGAGUUUGGAUAACUACUGGAUUCGCCAUUUUUUGGGUUUUGAAAGGCUUAAUAUUGGAGGCUGUGCAUAUUCAAGUGGGAGAGGUUUGAAGUGGAAGCAAAGAGAAGAGACCAUAGUUGUAGGAAGAAGAACAGGAAAGAUCGCUGCUAGAAGAGGAGGUAUGAGUUUGCAAGGAAGAGGAGGUAUGAGUUUGCAAGGAAGCUUUCAAUAGAAGAAGAGAUGACAAGAAGAAGAAGCAGAAGAGAAUUCAAGCAUCGUUAACAACACCACCGGUUUCUACUCUCAGGAGAGGAUCAAGAAUAUCAAGAAAAAUUUUGAUUGCGCCCUCGGGUUUGAGGAAAAGGAGAAGCUUGAAUCUGCCAAUCAAGGUCAGUACUAUCAGGAUAAAUUCUCUUUGGAAACUGAAGAUUGUUAUAGUGGUUGGAGUGAAGGUUCAGCUCAGUAACCGUUAAGUUAGGACAAAAGAGUGUAAAGUUCUAGACUCUGUUGUCGUCUAAGGCUGCAGUGUUGUAUAACAGUUGGGACUUGAAAGUCGUGUAUAUUCAAGAAGCUGAGCCCAGAGGCAGAAGUUUGGGAGUUUAAGGAUUCUGCUCCAAGUACGUGGAUUUUUGUAUUUUGCAAUUGUGUAGAUACUUUUCACGAAGUGAAGAGCAAACGUGAAAGAAGAAAAGAAAACAAAGCUUUGACUAUGGAAUUGUUUGCUGUGGCAUAUUCGUCCCUUGCAGCCAAAAUGGAGGAGAUUAUAUAUAGGCUGGUCUUGCUGGAAUUUUCAGCCACACAGAAGUAUUCUCUUGCAUCUAAUUGAACUUGCAAUGUGGAAGAGGCUGGUGAUCCGUAAGGCAGAAAUGGAGGAAUGUUUAGAUUUGAUAAUGGAAGAAUUAGAGAGAGAUAUAUAACUAAUGCAUACACCCUUAUCAGUGAAGUUGAUCCCAUAGUAGCAUCCUUCUCUGGAGGAGCAAUUGGAGUGAUCUUAGCACUGACGGUGGUUGAGAAGUGAGUUUAUUGUUUGGUCAAUUUGUUUUGACAUUGACGAAGUAUGAUAAGUGAAAUUCUGUUAAAAAGAAAAAAAAGAGAUUAUAGAGGGAUAAAUGCAUGGCCUAAUGCAAGUCCUGUGUAGGUAUGGAGUGAGUUGAUAUCCGAUAUUGAAUUUUUUCUUCCCAAAGGGCAACAAGGAUGGUGAAGAGUAUGGUCGAGGCUGAGACUUGAAAGAUUUAGUAAAUUUCAUCAAUGAGAAAUGUGGGACUAGCAGAGAUGCGAAAGGACAACUUACUACCAUUUUAAACCAAUGAACGUACCUCAUCAGUUUCUUUACCAAUUGUCUUCUCUUAUGUAUGUAGGCUGGAAUACUCUCAAGUUUGGAUGAGUUGGUGAAAAAUUUUGUGAACCAGCUUUUAUGAUAUGUAAAACGAUAGCAUAUUUGGCAAAUAUUCUAAGAUUGUGAUUACUACU